GGUUACGUAUCUAUCUUUCUUAGCACAUGCAGCAAAUCGAUCGAUCUCGUAAAAUGAUUGUAUACGCCAAUCGAUGGACAAUAGUGAUUGUAAAUUCAGGUCGCAAAUUCAGAUCUGAAUUGAAGUAAAAUGAUUGUAUACGCCAAUUGAUGGACAAUAGUGAUUGUAAAUUCAGGUGGCAAAUUCAGAUCUGAAUUGAAGGUCUUCUCAAACAUCAUUGAGAAUGAAUUAGACUAUAUUACAAAUUUGUAAAAUUUGUACGUAAUCUUUUGUCAAACACU
rnacentral:lncRNA from 1 species